CAGAAAUUGAUAAAAAAUGAUUGAUUGAAAGUUAAAACCAUUAAUAUGAUGAUUUAUCUUAAAAAGCAUUCAAAGAUGAUUUCUAUUGAUCCCAUCUAUUUUAUAAGAUGGCUUUCAUGAAAAAAUUUCCGUCUUAUCUUCAUCCGUCUCUCAAGAUUUUAUCCUCGAUGAUUUAAAACCCUAGUCUCCAUUUUUCUGUAGCAGCCCAUAGGUUGUAUUCCAAACUACUUGAUACCCUUGACACAGUUUGCAAGUACCAUCGAGGUGUUUGACAAUAUUCAUACUCUGCCAACCCGUGGAAUUUUAUACCAGGUAGACAGAUUGUGAUCGUCGUCCUGUUCAGCGCAGCUAGCAACUCAGAGGUAGUAUGUUCUACCUGUUUGUGCCCAUAACCUGUUCGAUAUCGAUGCCUGUUACAAAUCUACUCGCGAUUUUUUAUAAUUUAUGAAUUUUAUUUCAGCUUCAUAACAUCAUUGCUAGUUAUGUUCAGGGUUUUCUUCUGACAGUUCUGACGCUAAUAGGUGAUAGAAAGUUAAUUAGUGUUAUUAACUUUUUCGUUACUUGUCAUGUACAAGAAUUUGUUUAUCUGCCCAUACAAACAGUGCAUCUUGUCGCUUGUAUGAAA